rnacentral:tRNA from 1 species
ACCUUAGUAGUUUACUAAGAACACUAAUUUGUGGCAUUAGAGGCAGCGCAAAGCGCUCUAGGGUC